AAGUCGUAACAAGGUUUCCGUAGGUGAACCUGCGGAAGGAUCAUUACAGAGUUCAUGCCCUAACGGGUAGACCUCCCACCCUUUGUUAUACCUACCUUUGUUGCUUUGGCAGGCCGCCUUCGGGCUAUCGGCUUCGGCUGGUGCGUGCCUGCCAGAGGACCCCAAACUCUGAAUUUUAAUGUCGUCUGAGUACUAUAUAAUAGUUAAAACUUUCAACAACGGAUCUCUUGGUUCUG
rnacentral:misc_RNA from 1 species